rnacentral:miRNA from 1 species
UCAGUAAGAGUGGGCUCUGUCGAAGCGUAAGCACCAGAUUCCACUCUUCUAACA